AUGGUAGGAUAGAGGCCUACCAUGGUGGUAACGGGUAACGGGGUGUUAGGGCACGACACCGGAGAGGGAGCCUGAGAAACGGCUACCACAUCCAAGGAUGGCAGCAGGCGCGCAAAUUACCCAAUCCCGACACGGGGAGGUAGUGACAAUAAAUAACAAUACGGGGUUCUUUAGGAUCUCGUAAUUGGAAUGAGUACAAUUUAAAUCUCUUAACGAGGAACAAUUGGAGGGCAAGUCUGGUGCCAGCAGCCGCGGUAAUUCCAGCUCCAAUAGCGUAUAUUAAAGUUGUUGCAGUUAAAAAGCUCGUAGUUGAAUUUCGGGGUCAGUAGGUCGGUCGUGCCACUGGUAUGAACUGGUUUUACUGAUUCCUCCCUCUUGAAGAACUGUAAUGCCAUUAAUUUGGUGUUGCAGGGAAUCAGGACUGUUACUUUGAAAAAAUUAGAGUGUUUAAAGCAGGCUUUAGCUUGAAUACAUUAGCAUGGAAUAAUGGAAUAGGACGUUUGAUCCUAUUUUGUUGGUUUCUAGGAUUGACGUAAUGAUUAAUAGGGAUAGUUGGGGGCAAUAGUAUUCAAUUGUCAGAGGUGAAAUUCUUGGAUUUAUUGAAGACUAACUACUGCGAAAGCAUUUGCCAAGGAUGUUUUCAUUAAUCAAGAACGAAAGUUAGGGGAUCGAAGACGAUCAGAUACCGUCGUAGUCUUAACCAUAAACUAUGCCGACUAGGGAUCGGAUGAUGUUAAUUUUUUAAUGACUCAUUCGGCGCCUUACGGGAAACCAAAGUGUUUGGG
rnacentral:rRNA from 1 species